rnacentral:rRNA from 1 species
AGAGUUUGAUCAUGGCUCAGGACGAACGCUGGCGGCGUGCUUAACACAUGCAAGUCGAGCGGAAAGGCCCUUCGGGGUACUCGAGCGGCGAACGGGUGAGUAACACGUGAGUAACCUGCCCUGGACUUUGGGAUAACCCUCGGAAACGGGGGCUAAUACCGAAUACGACUUUUCCUCGCAUGAGGUUUGGUGGAAAGUUUUUCGGUCUGGGAUGGGCUCGCGGCCUAUCAGCUUGUUGGUGGGGUGAUGGCCUACCAAGGCGACGACGGGUAGCCGGCCUGAGAGGGCGACCGGCCACACUGGGACUGAGACACGGCCCAGACUCCUACGGGAGGCAGCAGUGGGGAAUAUUGCACAAUGGGCGGAAGCCUGAUGCAGCGACGCCGCGUGAGGGAUGACGGCCUUCGGGUUGUAAACCUCUUUCAGCAGGGACGAAGCGCAAGUGACGGUACCUGCAGAAGAAGCGCCGGCCAACUACGUGCCAGCAGCCGCGGUAAGACGUAGGGCGCGAGCGUUGUCCGGAUUUAUAGGGCGUAAAGAGCUCGUAGCGGCUUGUCGCGUCGACUGUGAAAUCCCGCGGCUCAACCGCGGGUCUGCAGUCGAUACGGGCAGGCUAGAGUUCGGUAGGGGAGACUGGAAUUCCUGGUGUACCGGUGAAAUGCGCAGAUAUCAGGAGGAACACCGAUGGCGAAGGCAGGUCUCUGGGCCGAUACUGACGCUGAGGAGCGAAAGCGUGGGGAGCGAACAGGAUUAGAUACCCUGGUAGUCCACGCUGUAAACGUUGGGCGCUAGGUGUGGGGGACCUCUCCGGUUCUCUGUGCCGCAGCUAACGCAUUAAGCGCCCCGCCUGGGGAGUACGGCCGCAAGGCUAAAACUCAAAGGAAUUGACGG